GGCGUGACUCCAAUGAACGCAGGCUUCAUCCCUUGUGGUGCUCCCCCGCCAAUUCCUUUAGUUUCAUACUUGCGUACGUACUUCCCAGGCGGCAGACUUAACGGCUUCCCUGCGGCACUGCAUUGGCCACAAGCCUAUGCAUCACCGAGUCUGCAUCGUUUACAGCUGGGACUACCCGGGUAUCUAAUCCGGUUUGCUCCCCCAACUUUCAUCCCUCGCCGUCGAACGUGUUCUGGUACACCACCUUCGCCACAGGUGGUCUUCAAUAGAUCAAAGGAUUUUACCCCUUCCUAUCGAGUACCGUGUACCUCUCCCACUCCCUAGCUGCACAGUAUUUUCGGCGGCCUAUACGUUAAGCGCAUAGAUUUAACCGAAAACUUAUGCAACCGGCUACGGAUGCUUUAGGCCCAAUAAACCUCCUGACCACUCGAGGUGCUGGCUUUACCGCGGCGGCUGACACCAGAACUUGCCCACCCCUUAUUCACCAGUGAUUCUACAACUGACAAAAGACUCCUUUAGCAGGAGACACUCGGAUUAACCUUGUCGUGCUUUCGCACAUUGCAAAGGUUCUCGCCUGCUGCGCCCCAUAGGCCUGGGUCCGGUCUCAGUACCAUUUC
rnacentral:rRNA from 1 species